rnacentral:rRNA from 1 species
UUCCUACGGGGCGCAGCAGUAGGGAAUUUUCGUCAAUGGGCGCAAGCCUGAACGAGCAAUGCCGCGUGAACGAGGAAGGUCUUCGGAUCGUAAAGUUCUGUUGAAGGGGAAAAAGAGCGGAGAGAGGAAAUGGUCUCCGAUUGAUAUUACCCUUCGAGGAAGUCACGGCUAACUACGUGCCAGCAGCCGCGGUAAUACGUAGGUGGCGAGCGUUAUCCGGAAUGAUUGGGCGUAGAGGGUGCGCAGGCGGAUUUUUAAGUCAGCGGUCAAAUCGUGGGGCUCAACCCCAUCCAGCCGUUGAAACU